UAUCCUACGGGAGGCAGCAGUGGGGAAUUUUGGACAAUGGGGGCAACCCUGAUCCAGCCAUGCCGCGUGCGGGAAGAAGGCCUUCGGGUUGUAAACCGCUUUUGUCAGGGAAGAAAUGCUCUGGGCUAAUACCUCGGAGUGAUGACGGUACCUGAAGAAUAAGCACCGGCUAACUACGUGCCAGCAGCCGCGGUAAUACGUAGGGUGCAAGCGUUAAUCGGAAUUACUGGGCGUAAAGCGUGCGCAGGCGGUCGUGCAAGACAGGUGUGAAAUCCCCGGGCUUAACCUGGGAACUGCAUUUGUGACUGCACGGCUUGAGUACGGCAGAGGGGGAUGGAAUUCCGCGUGUAGCAGUGAAAUGCGUAGAUAUGCGGAGGAACACCGAUGGCGAAGGCAGUCCCCUGGGCCUGUACUGACGCUCAUGCACGAAAGCGUGGGGAGCAAACAGGAUUAGAUACCCUGGUAGUC
rnacentral:rRNA from 1 species